rnacentral:rRNA from 1 species
GAGUUUGAUCCUGGCUCAGAAUGAACGCUAGCGGCAGGCUUAAUACAUGCAAGUCGAGGGGCAGCAUGUCCGUAGCAAUACGGAUGAUGGCGACCGGCAAACGGGUGCGGAACACGUACAGAACCUUCCUUCGAGCGGGGAAUAGCCCAGAGAAAUUUGGAUUAAUACCCCAUAGCAUAACGGAGUGGCAUCACUUUGUUAUUAAAGAUUUAUCACUUGAAGAUGGCUGUGCGGCUGAUUAGAUAGUUGGCGGGGUAACGGCCCACCAAGUCUACGAUCAGUAACUGGUGUGAGAGCACGACCAGUCACACGGGCACUGAGACACGGGCCCGACUCCUACGGGAGGCAGCAGUAAGGAUAUUGGUCAAUGGACGAAAGUCUGAACCAGCCGUGCCGCGUGGAGGAUGAAGGCCCUCUGGGUUGUAAACUUCUUUUAUAUUGGGACGAAAAAAGGAUCUUUCGUAGAUUCAACUGACGGUACCAUGUGAAUAAGCA